rnacentral:misc_RNA from 1 species
GAAACCACCUAUGGAAACAAUAAUUAAAUUUCAAGUUUCAAAUUCAUUUGCCAAGAAUAAAAGUAGUCAUAAAUUUCUUUGAACACAGAGAGAUCAAGAUAUUUAAAUACUUUCAAGAAGAGUUUGAAAAUUAUCAAAAGCCAAAUAUCAGAUACCCACAAAGUACCGGUAUAGCAUAAGCUAAAAACAUCAAAUUGCCCAUUCCAAUCAUCUAUUAAUCUUUCUAUACAUAAAAGUGUCAUCUUUGGUUAACAGCUAGAACUUGCAAUGUAGAAUACCAACCAAUGUAACGAGAAACUAUGGUAUCAUGGCCAGAUUAUUAUUUUAGCGAACGCUUGAAUCUUGGUGCAUGUAAAGCCAUCAAUUUGUCAAAGCAAAAAUACAAAUAUUGCAAAUGAGAGCAUCCAAAGCUCAUCUCUACAGAACAAUUUCCAAAACAUAAAUUAAUAGCAGCCCCAUCCAAAUUACUUAUUUUAAAACCCUCCUCCUUUAUCUGGGCUU